rnacentral:rRNA from 1 species
UACGUAGGGUGCGAGCGUUGUCCGGAAUUAUUGGGCGUAAAGGGCUCGUAGGCGGUUUGUCGCGUCGGGAGUGAAAACCUCGGGCUUAACUCGGGGCUUGCUUUCGAUACGGGCAGACUAGAGGUAUGCAGGGGAGAACGGAAUUCCUGGUGUAGCGGUGAAAUGCGCAGAUAUCAGGAGGAACACCGGUGGCGAAGGCGGUUCUCUGGGCAUGAUCUGACGCUGAGGAGCGAAAGUGUGGGGAGCAAACAGG